UACGUAGGGGGCAAGCGUUGUCCGGAAUCAUUGGGCGUAAAGCGCGUGUAGGCGGCCCGAUAAGUCCGCUGUGAAAGUCCAGGGCUCAACCCUGGGAUGCCGGUGGAUACUGUCGGGCUCGAGUCCGGAAGAGGCGAGUGGAAUUCCUGGUGUAGCGGUGAAAUGCGCAGAUAUCAGGAGGAACACCAAUGGCGAAGGCAGCUCGCUGGGACGUGACUGGCGCUGAGACGCGAAAGCGUGGGGAGCAAACAGG
rnacentral:rRNA from 1 species